rnacentral:rRNA from 1 species
ACGCUCGACACCUACGGGGGGCAGCAGUGGGGAAUAUUGCACAAUGGGGGAAACCCUGAUGCAGCGACGCCGCGUGAGCGAAGAAGUAUUUCGGUAUGUAAAGCUCUAUCAGCAGGGAAGAAAGUGACGGUACCUGACUAAGAAGCACCGGCUAAAUACGUGCCAGCAGCCGCGGUAAUCUGAGCGGGCUGGCAAGGC